UACGUAGGUGGCGAGCGUUGUCCGGAUUUAUUGGGCGUAAAGGGCGCGCAGGUGGUGCGGUAAGACUGCCGUGAAAUCUCCUGGCUCAACUGGGAGGGUGCGGUGGAGACUGCCGGACUAGAGGCACUCAGAGGCCGGUGGAAUUCCCGGUGUAGUGGUGAAAUGCGUAGAGAUCGGGAGGAACACCAGUGGCGAAGGCGGCCGGCUGGGGGUGACCUGACGCUGAGGCGCGAAAGCGUGGGGAGCAAACAGG
rnacentral:rRNA from 1 species